rnacentral:pre_miRNA from 1 species
AUGUAGGACAAUAUGUCUUUAAGUAGGGUUAAAUUACUCUUAAAGAAAAAUAAGGAAUCCUAGCUAGUUUUCCCUUCGAGUCAAGUAUCUAGU